rnacentral:sRNA from 1 species
UAAUGAAUACGAAAAGAGGGUCGUGCGUCAACACAACCCUCAAGUCAGAGCCGUCUGAAACGGUGGCCGUAUUAUAACGAAGAGAUA